rnacentral:rRNA from 1 species
AGUGAACGCUGGCGGUAGGCCUAACACAUGCAAGUCGAACGGCAGCACAGUAAGAGCUUGCUCUUACGGGUGGCGAGUGGCGGACGGGUGAGGAAUACAUCGGAAUCUACUUUUUCGUGGGGGACAACGUAGGGAAACUUACGCUAAUACCGCAUACGACCUACGGGUGAAAGCAGGGGAUCUUCGGACCUUGCGCGAUUGAAUGAGCCGAUGUCGGAUUAGCUAGUUGGCGGGGUAAAGGCUCACCAAGGCGACGAUCCGUAGCUGGUCUGAGAGGAUGAUCAGCCACACUGGAACUGAGACACGGUCCAGACUCCUACGGGAGGCAGCAGUGGGGAAUAUUGGACAAAGGGCGCAAGCCUGAUCCAGCCAUACCGCGUGGGUGAAGAAGGCCUUCGGGUUGUAAAGCCCUUUUGUUGGGAAAGAAAAGCAGCAGGUUAAUACCCCGCUGUUCUGACGGUACCCAAAGAAUAAGCACCGGCUAACUUCGUG